UACAGAGGGUGCGAGCGUUGUUCGGAAUUAUUGGGCGUAAAGCGCUUGUAGGCGGCCUGAAAAGUCUCGUGUGAAAUCCCCUGGCUUAACCAGGGAAGUGCGCGAGAAACUUUCGGGCUUGAGUGCCGGAGAGGGUCGCGGAAUUCCCGGUGUAGAGGUGAAAUUCGUAGAUAUCGGGAGGAACACCAGUGGCGAAGGCGGCGACCUGGACGGACACUGACGCUGAGACGCGUAAGCGUGGGGAGCAAACAGG
rnacentral:rRNA from 1 species